rnacentral:lncRNA from 1 species
GUAUUUGAUCACAAAUCUUAUUAGUUGCCAACAAUUUCCAUGUUUACGUACAAAGAAGUAGGUGGCGAGUGAACUGAGCUCUGUACAAAGAUCACAUCACAAGAGACUCCGUUCAAAGUGAACAUGAUAAAAAUACUACAGAUGAUCCAGGGUUACAAACUCAACUGAUCAUCAAUUACAACUUACAAUCAUCCCUCAUAUUCUUUGCUGGUUGUUACAAACUUAGAGCUUGUUACAUCCCAAAAAAGAUUGAUUAAUUCAGAGGGAGACACCAGGUAAAAAAGAACAGCAGUACAGGUCACAGUAAUUAAGGCUUCCAUCAACAGGCAAACAAACAACCUUUGACGGUCAUAAUAAAAGGAUUGAGAGACGUGUCCCCCCAUAUUAUAAUUGAUCCCAUAAUCAGCUCCAUUGAUCUUCAUAUAUACUCGACGAACCAGUUGGUUGGUGAAAAAGGAAAGAGUGCAGCAGUAAAAAGUAACCGAUCUCCUGUGAUAUGUGCCCCCGUAAACCCGAUAUGGAUUGCUUUCCAAUCAGGUAAAAAAAAGAGGGAACCGUUGCACUUACAAGGAGAAAAUUCUGUGUAGCUUGAGAAAACAGAUAUGCAACCACACCCUUACCCCAUGAAACCAAACCGUACUGGACCAGAUACAUUGAGCUCUUAUUGUGCAUGAUGGGAGAGAUUAAUUUAUAUGAGGGCAAGGAAAGAAAUCAAGAAAUAUACGUCACAGCUAUAGCUAGAGUAGUAGUAGUAUAUGCUAUAGCUAGAUGGCUAAUCAUCACCCUGAAUAUACCAGCAAAGAAGCAUGGUGGCGCAACGGCGUAGGAUGUAGAUACGAGCACGUUGCUCCUUCACCAAGGCCGCACACUUGUUGGUGAAGCCAUGUCCCUUAGAUCUCCCUGUAGCAGGGGCCUUCUUGGCCCCAGUACUGCUCUUGUUGUAUACUUGGAACUUAAUCUCACCCAUAUCUAGUAGAUUUUGUGUAAGCUAUGAGAGGUGUCCCCAAAAAAAGCUCGCCGAGAGCUUGGAGUAUGGGGGAGGGGCAAGGGGAUGUAUAUAUACAAAACACAAUACCCUAAGGAUAUGAAAAGCCAGUUAAGAACAGUUGGCUGUAUUUUGAAGGAAAGCAACAGGAGGAGGUGAACAUGGUCAGGUUCGAAAACUGAGGGAUUUGCAUGGGAAGACGUGCAUAGUAAUUAGAAGGUGCUCUUCUUUUUCCUUGUGUAUAGG